GAUUUGCUCCUCUGCUGCGCAGUCUGUUACUCAGAGCUUCAUUUUCUCCUCCUCUGUGUCCAGUUCUUCCUCUCACCUAAUCUUUCCUCUUCUUCAUGAUUCUCUCUGUUUUCUUGCACCCUCCCCUCCCUCCAUCGCCUCGUCCCAGCAUCCCUCAUCCUCCUGAUCUUCAUGCCUCCCUCUCUUGUGCAUUCCUUCAGCUUGGUGCGGCGGAGACGGAUCACAAAUGCCUUUUUCUGCUCCGACUUGGGAAUGACGCUCUUCUUCACCACAUGAGGAUGAAGUCAAUCAGCAAUACGAAGGAAAAACCAAGAGGACAGGAAGACGGAUGAAAUUAUAAUGAGGAAGAGUAGGAUGAAGUUUUGAAAAAAAAAACCUGGAGAGAGAGAGACAGAGAGUGAGCGGAGGUUUGUGAUUCGCCUGCAUCCCUGUUAUUCUCUCUCUCCGUUCUUCGUCCCUCCUUCAUUCAGUACCUGUUCAGUGGGAUUAACAUGACUUAAAAUUCAAUCAGCCCACAGCCUGACGGAAGAGCGUCAGUGCAGGCAGACAGAGCGCUGCUGCAGCUGUCGAGACCGACUGAGGGGAGAGAGCAGCAAGGAGGAGGAGGAGGGGUGUUGGGAUAGACAGAGAGAUAGAGAGAGGGAAAAACCGAAGGAGAGAGGGGGAGAGAGAGAGAGAUGGGUGUUUUUCUGCGGAGCUGAGAUAGAGCGAGAGCCACGGAGACGGAGAGAUGUGACUGCUCCAGGAGUCGCGGUGGAAUGAUCCGGAAAACAAGAUUUCUAACGAUACGUCCGUCUCGACAAUCCCGCUUCCCUCAAUUUCCACCCAAGGUCACGAGAAACGACUAAUUCAGAGUCGGAGAGUAAAUGUGCAUCACGCCGAGCGGGCAGGGGAUCAGAGCUGGAAGUGGAGGGGAUGAAAGAUAAAAGACGAAGAAUGAACAGGAAUGAAAACCAGGAGGGAAGGAGCAAAGUUGAGCACGGCCAGGAGGAAAUCGCAUCAAGACGCCACAAAUCGGAUUUUUAGCAAAGUGGAUUCUUGGAUCUCUCUUCACAUUUUUGGAAUACGCCGCCGGGACCGAGAAAGCCAAUCGGGAUUUUCCAGGUUUUUCUCAGUCUAUAAAAGCCUAAGCGGAUAUCGUGGGAUUGGGAUUUCUUCAACUCUCUGGUUUCAAGAGGUUGACCUACAUCAGCCUUUUCCCUUUUUGCUGUGCGGAGGAGUGAGUGGGACAGGUUUCACCAGUAAAAACACAACCCACCCAGCCCUGGGCUGGCCUCGUAUCAGCACAAACACCUGAGGCGAGAUCUGCGCUCAACACCGACACACAUCCUCAUCCACACACACAAAACACACAGACCUAAACCUGGAUAACAUGUGGAGCUGAUUUGGAUUACAGAGGCGCACAGACGGAAAAGGUAACGUCAACGGAGCGUCACACACACACAACCUGAAAAAAAGAUUCAUGCUCUUACACAUUUUGUUUUGGAUUUCAUAACAUUGACCAACAUGACAUGGUAAAUAAUUGUGAAAUGGAAGAAAAAAGUAUAAAUCAAAUAACUCUGGCAUGCACUUGUGUCCAGCUCCAUUUACUCUGGUGACCCUAAAUAAAAUCUAGUGGAAAAACGUAACAUCAGAAGUCUCCUUAUUAAGAAAUAGUCAUAUAAUGUGUAAUUUAAUCUCAGUAUGCAAACAUCAGAGGUUUGUUAGAGAACAUUUGUGAACAAACAGCAUCAUGUAGACCAAGGAACUGGUCUACAUGAAGGUUUAGAUUAUAAAGUCCACUUCUCAAUCAGAAAACAAGAUGUGAAGAUGUGUUCAUGGCAUGAGAACUGGAGAACAUUGAUUGGGAAUGCAGCCAAGAGGCAGUGGAGGAGGUGCAGAGAGCCACAGCUCAGGUGGGAGAAUCGGUUGACAUGACAGCUUCAAGGCUAGACUCUCGCAGCUGGGGAACGUGACCCAAAUACGGCUUUUUCCCCUGCCUGAACAGCACAACGUAAAAAAUAAAAACAUGUGGUACUAAAUCAGCAACUGUUUUCAAGAGCCUGCAGUCAAAUUGCAUUAGAUCCGCCUUGUGUCGUUGGACAUAAGUGUGCUCCAGGAGGAGAAGCAGUAAAUCUGUACAUAAACAAUGGUUGAAGCUUUCUUCUUUUUAUUAGCUUCCUUCAUCUUGUGAUAAUCCUGUCGGCUCCCAUUGCUCAACAAUCAACUUCUUCUGUAAAAGCGGGUCGCUUUGGGAUCGUAAACUAUCCACACAUAAGUCUGACUGAACUGAUGGUAUGAACGAUCAAGU